rnacentral:rRNA from 1 species
AGAACGAACGCUGGCGGCAUGCCUAAUACAUGCAAGUCGAACGAACACUUCGGUGUUAGUGGCGCACGGGUGCGUAACGCGUGGGAAUCUGCCCUUGGGUUCGGAAUAACAGUUGGAAACGACUGCUAAUACCGGAUGAUAUCGAAAGAUCAAAGAUUUAUCGCCCAGGGAUGAGCCCGCGUAGGAUUAGCUAGUUGGUGAGGUAAAGGCUCACCAAGGCGACGAUCCUUAGCUGGUCUGAGAGGAUGAUCAGCCACACUGGGACUGAGACACGGCCCAGACUCCGUACGGGAGCAG